rnacentral:lncRNA from 1 species
CCACUCUAUCAUCUAUUAUUAUCUCCUCAUCUUAUAUGUAAGUCAAUUUUAAAAAUUAAAUAUUAAAUAGUUUUAAAUUUUUAAAUUCAUUUAUUUAAAUUUGUGUUGUAGGGAAUUAAUUCCUCCCUUAGCUUAAUUAGGAUCCGCGUAGGAGGAAAAAUUCUAGAAUGCAACGGAUAUAUUAGUGACGUGGCGUAACAAACCAAUCAAAUUAAUCCUUUUAAGAAUAUAUGUCCCAUCAUGAUUGUAAAAAAAUAUUUGUAUUAUACUUUUGUUUGAAAAGAAGGAAUGUGAUUGGCUUGUUAUUGAUGACGUGGUGCAAGUGUGACAGUGUAGAAUUUCUCGCGUAGGAGAGCU